UCUUCUAGAAGAUGAUUUCCAUGAGGUGUCACCUGCCAUUGUGACACCUUAGUGGUCUCAAUACCUUAGCCUCUGAGGGAUACUCAAGUGUCGUGGAUGGCCUGGGCUUGCUGAGCCUUGGAGAGCUUGUCAACUCUGUGUGAAGGAUUCACUAGGAUCAGGAAGGAACUGUGAUCCUGUGAAGGUGCCUUUGUGAGGCUGGGGAAAGCUUUAUAAUCCCCACUGACUGGCCCAGCUCUGUGCCUCAGCUAGAAUGUAGCAGAACCCUGCCUCAUCGGGAAGCCCAAGGAGUGAGCAGAGCCCUGCUAUUCCAGUAUUUCCUCCUGAGGCUACAGUUCCAGCACUCCAGGAGGAAGGAUGAUGUCUGGAGAGGCACAAAGGCGUUUUCUGUUCUGGGUAAUUUUAUGUUCAGGUAACAAGUCACUGUCAACCCCAGUUGCCCGCCAUGCUGAAGACCUCUGGGCCUCGGUCCUACUUUCUAUCUGCACUUGGACCUUCGUGGUCAGUACUCAAUUCUACAGGCACAGGAAACACAUCCACACCUCUCACCCUCUGCCUCCCGACUGCGAAGUCUGCACUUAACGAAUAUCUCUCUUAUCCAUGCAGGAGAGAU
rnacentral:lncRNA from 1 species